rnacentral:rRNA from 1 species
AUUGAACGCUGGCGGCAGGCCUAACACAUGCAAGUCGAACGAGUGGCGGACGGGUGAGUAAUGUCUGGGAAACUGCCCGAUGGAGGGGGAUAACUACUGGAAACGGUAGCUAAUACAGCAUACCAUCGGAUGUGCCCAGAUGGGAUUGACUAUUAGGUGGGGUAACGGCUCACCUAGGCGACGAUCCCUAGCUGGUCUGAGAGGAUGACCAGCCACACUGGAACUGAGACACGGUCCAGACUCCUACGGUAGGCAGCAGUGGGGAAUAUUGCACAAUGGGCGAAAGCCUGAUGUAGCCAUGCCGCGUGUAUGAAGAAGGCCUGCGGGUUGUAAAGUACUUUCAGCGAGGAGGCGUUACCCGCAGAAGAAGCACCGGCUAACUCCGUGCCAGCAGCCGCGGUAAUUC